rnacentral:rRNA from 1 species
AGAGUUUGAUUCUGGCUCAAGAACGAACGCUGGCGGCAGGCCUAACACAUGCAAGGUCGAGCGCGCCCUUCGGGGUGAGCGGCGGACGGGUUAGUAACGCGUGGGAACGUACCCUUUGGUAGGGAAUAGCCACUGGAAACGGUGAGUAAUACCCUAUGAGCCCUUCGGGGGAAAGAUUUAUCGCCAAAGGAUCGGCCCGCGUUAGAUUAGGUAGUUGGUGGGGUAAUGGCCUACCAAGCCUACGAUCUAUAGCUGGUUUUAGAGGAUGAUCAGCAACACUGGGACUGAGACACGGCCCAGACUCCUACGGGAGGCAGCAGGUGGGGAAUCUUGGACAAGUGGGGGCAACCCUUAGAUCCAGCCAUGCCGCGUGAGUGAAGAAGGCCUUAGGGUCGUAAAGCUCUUUCGCCUGUGAAGAUAAUGACGGUAGCAGGUAAAGAAACCCCGGCUAACUCCGUGCCAGCCGCCGC